rnacentral:rRNA from 1 species
GAUGAACGCUGGCGGCGUGCCUAAUACAUGCAAGUCGAGCGAACAGACGAGGAGCUUGCUCCUCUGACGUUAUCGUCGGACGGGUGAGUAACACGUGGAUAACCUACCUAUAAGACUGGGAUAACUUCGGGAAACCGGAGCUAAUACCGGAUAAUAUAUUGAACCGCAUGGUUCAAUAUUGAAAGACGGUUUUGCUUUCACUUAUAGAUGGAUCCGCGCCGCAUUAGCUAGUUGGUAAGGUAACGGCUUACCAAGGCAACGAUGCGUAGCCGACCUGAGAGGGGGAUCGGCCACACUGGAACUGAGACACGGUCCAGACUCCUACGGGAGGCAGAAGUAGGGAAUCUUCCGAAAUGGGCGAAAGCCUGACGGAGCAACGCCGCGUGAGUGAUGAAGGUCUUCGGAUCGUAAAACUCUGUUAUUAGGGAAGAACAAAUGUGUAAGUAACUAUGCAAGUAUUGACGGUACCUAAUCAGAAAGCCACGGCUAACUACGUG